rnacentral:lncRNA from 1 species
AUGUAUAUGAUGUUUGACAAAAAUAACUUUCCAGAUGGGGCACAAGUUUAUUGUGUGAAACAGAAGAUUAUGCAUGACAGGUGUAUCCAUCAUCUUCACAGAGCGAUGGGUCAUGCACGUGUAGAGGUGCUCAGAAAAACUUUAGAAAUAUGCACAGAUUUUGAGUGUGAGAAAUGUGAAAAUUUAUUAGACUGUGCAGUUUGUUCAGAGAUGGGAAUUGAAUCAAAAGAGCAUCCUAAAAGAAUUAAGACCCAGGAAAUGUUUGAAAUGGUCCAUCUAUAUGUAACAGAAUCUGAUGUAAAAAGCCAGGGAGGUUCUCAAUUUACUUUGCUGUUAGUAGAUAGACACACAAGAUUUGGUUAUAUUUACUUCCUUAAGGAUUUGAAGGAAGCUGUUGUAAAGGUGUCUAAUUGGAUAGACAUGGUUCAAAGGGUCUAUGAACAGCAUGUAGGUCAAAUAGUUUUUGACAAAGGUGUUAAUGUGUGUAAUGAAGAGAUGAAGAAAAUGUUGAGUGAAAGGAAUAUAGGAUUUAAAAAUGUAAAGUCAAAUAAGUCAAAUGAAGAAGGCGUGGCUCAAAAUAGGAUGAAGCAAAUUCUUCACAUGAAUGAGUGUUUAAUUAGAGAUUCCAAAAGCUCAACUAAGAAUUGGCCAGAGUGUUCACACACAAGUAAUUACAUUUUAAACAGGUUAUGGGAUGAGGAAUUGGAUGACAUCCCAUUUCGGAGAAUGUACAAAAAAACCCCAAAUAUAGGAUAUCUAAAAGUAUAUGGUCAAAAUGCUAAUGCAUUAGUUCCAGCCAACCAAAGGAAAAAGGGUGAGCCUAAGUGGAGAAGGAUGCAGUUUUUAGGCUACUACCAAGACAAGCUUAAAUUUCACAGUGGUCUUGGGAGGCUUAUUUUCUCAAAGAAGGCGUUCUUUGAGAAGGAUGAAGGCUGGGACAGGUUGCAUUUGAACAAAGAGAUGUUGUUUAAUAACAAUUCCACCAAGGAAGCGGAGGUACAGAAAGCUUCAGGUGGAGGGGGUUCUGUUGUUGAAAAGGAUAUGCAACGAACCAUUAAGGAGGAGAUGGUUACUCCAGUGAAACAUGGGGAAGUACAGACUCCCCAGAAGAGUCAGAAGAGAGGGGGUAAAGGGAAAAAAUCACCUAAGCUUGAGAGUGAAGAGCAGGUGACAGAAAAAAGUGAAGAUAUAUCUCUUCUUGAGACCGAGAUUGAAUCAGUUGAUCAGUGGUCUCCAACUUGUCAAUUGGCACAGGUGUUGCCAAAGCGCCAGAGAUGCAAAAACAUUGUGCCUGUUUAUUAG